GACGAACGCUGGCGGCGUGCUUAACACAUGCAAGUCGAACGGAAAGGCCCCUUUGGGGGUACUCGAGUGGCGAACGGGUGAGUAACACGUGAGUAACCUGCCCUUGACUUCGGGAUAACUUCAGGAAACUGGGGCUAAUACCGGAUAGGAAUCCUUGCUGCAUGGUGGGGGUUGGAAAGCUUCGGCGGUUUUGGAUGGACUCGCGGCUUAUCAGCUUGUUGGUGGGGUAGUGGCUUACCAAGGCUUUGACGGGUAGCCGGCCUGAGAGGGCGACCGGCCACAUUGGGACUGAGAUGCGGCCCAGACUCCUACGGGGGGCAGCAGUGGGGAAUAUUGCACAAUGGGCGGAAGCCUGAUGCAGAAACGCCGCGUGCGGGAUGACGGCCUUCGGGUUGUAAACCGCUUUCAGCAGGGGCGAAGCUUGUGGUGACGGUACCUGCAGAAGAAGCACCGGCUAACUACGUG
rnacentral:rRNA from 1 species